rnacentral:lncRNA from 1 species
AUAGUGGUGGCCUUGCUUCAGCCAAGUCAGGGAACCAAAUGAAAAUACCUUUUCUAGUUUAUUUUCCACCUCCCUCCCCAUUUCCCCUCAAACAGUAGUAGGAGGAUCUUGCCACCCACAUUUGCACUGUCCUUAGGAAUGUGUGUGACUAUUUUAGGACAAUUUGGAAACCCUUGGGAACAUUCCUAAUUAAUAAACAUACUUUCUAUUUUCUUUUCCUGUAUUCCCCUGUGGAUUUCCAUCAUCUUCUUUUGCCAGCUAUUGUGUACAGAGCCAUUCAUGAUCCAAUAGCAAGGCAAUCCCUGGAACUCUGGAUAUCCUAACCUGGCAUUACCAUUCAAGGGGGUGGAAUUAUUCUUCAAACCUGAAGAGCACUUGCCUCUCCAGUCAGCUCUAGGCCUGCUGGUACAGACCAGCCCUUUGGUAGGCAGAAAUAUAAGAACUUGAAAAGAUUCUGCCCUGAAAACUCUUCAGUCUGUUGUCUGUAGAGGGGACAAGGACAAGCAGGAACAAGUUCACAUGAGUCUCUUGCUGUUUACUAAAAAUACUGCCAACAUGAUACUUCUGUUAAUUUGUUAGCAGUACUCAUUUUAAAAAAGGAAGUACAGAUGGGUGAGGAGAUAUAAAAAGACUGGUUUUCUUCUCCUUGUGACCUGUUGUGUAACUACAACCCUGGAGAGAGCUGCCAGUGAGGAAAAGCAUCAGGAUCAGCUCUGCUUUGCCCAGGCAAAAAUGGGCUUCUGUCUUUUACUACCAAGCACGAAUACCCAGCCUGUAACCUAAAGACACACUGUGGGAAUGGAAAAGCAGCAGAUGAAGGUGGUCUUUUGCUCAGAGUUUGUAAUGUCCAUCUACCUUGCACCAAGACAAAAGGCCCCCCUCUAGAAUUUUCUGGGGGUUUCUCUAGCAGUCAUACUUCUGUGCCUGUUUUUAAUCUUCCUUGACACUUCUGCAGCAAUGCACAUGCCCUGUAGACUUAACUUGUCCCAGCUGAGCUGUUUCAGAACUCAAAAUGUGGACACAGGAUAAAAAAAAACUGCUGUCUCCCUUGACAGUGCAGGCUUGCUGCAGCCCCUGAUGAAAGUACAAACA